UACGUAGGGGGCAAGCGUUGUCCGGAAUCAUUGGGCGUAAAGCGCGCGUAGGCGGCCCGGUAAGUCCGUUGUGAAAGUCAAAGGCUCAACCUUUGAACGCCGAUGGAUACUGCCGGGCUAGAGUCCGGAAGAGGAGAGUGGAAUUCCCGGUGUAGCGGUGAAAUGCGCAGAUAUCGGGAAGAACACCCGUGGCGAAGGCGGCUCUCUGGGACGGUACUGACGCUGAGACGCGAAAGCGUGGGGAGCGAACAGG
rnacentral:rRNA from 1 species